CAAAAGUGGCGCACGGGUGCGUAACGCGUAUGCAACCUGCCUCAAUCAGGGGGAUAGCCCGAAGAAAUUCGGAUUAACACCGCAUAAAAACACAGUACAGCAUUGUACAAUGUUCAAAUAUUUAUAGGAUUGAGAUGGGCAUGCGUGUCAUUAGCUAGUUGGCGGGGUAACGGCCCACCAAGGCGACGAUGACUAGGGGAUCUGAGAGGAUGACCCCCCACACUGGUACUGAGACACGGACCAGACUCCUACGGGAGGCAGCAGUAAGGAAUAUUGGUCAAUGGAGGCAACUCUGAACCAGCCAUGCCGCGUGCAGGAAGACAGCCCUCUGGGUCGUAAACUGCUUUUAUUCGGGAAUAAACCUUAUUACGUGUAAUAAGCUGAAUGUACCGAAGGAAUAAGGAUCAGCUAACUCCGUGCCAGCAGCCGCGGUAAUACGGAGGAUCCAAGCGUUAUCCGGAUUUAUUGGGUUUAAAGGGUGCGUAGGCGGCUUAUUAAGUCAGGGGUGAAAGACGGUGGCUCAACCAUCGCAGUGCCCUUGAUACUGAUGAGCUUGAAUGAACUAGAGGUAGGCGGAAUGUGACAAGUAGCGGUGAAAUGCAUAGAUAUGUCACAGAACACCGAUUG
rnacentral:rRNA from 1 species